CAAAAACGGAUCAAACUGAAUAUGCCAGCAUUCUGUGAGAAAACAAAGGGUUCUGCCAUGAACCUCAAGAGAUCAAGUUGUGAGCAGAAGGAAAUGUGUGAUGAGCUGACAGAGAAGAUUCUAAGAAGCAAGCAUGUACUCCGUUGGCUUGAUGUGAAGAAACUUCGGGACAGGGCAUGAGCCAAUGUUGGACUCCAUUUCACCGGUUAAAGUGUCCAUUAAUCGCUGAUUAAAACAUCAAAGAAGAUUGAGACAUCGAGGUGAAUUGUGGAAGGCAAGUGAGAGUUCAGUGCUGACUGCCUUCCUGUUGAUCGCUGCUGAGAAGGAGACUGUGAGUGGCCUAUCGCUGUGGUACACAGACGUUUCUUGUCAGUUACUUCAAUGUGGUUAUUGACUCUGAAGGCAGACCUCCAAGUUUCCAAGCCACAUCACAGCCAUGGCCUCUCAGAAAAGGAACUACAAGACAGUUUCUCAUCAGGCUACAUUGACUAUUGUACAAGUGGGAAGAUUUGCUUCUUUUAUUCAGGACUCUGAAGACAAUUGUUUACAAACCAUAAACUGAGAUCUAGUUGUUCAAUAAAACCUGAAGAAAUGCAAAUUUCUUUUAAAUAACUUGAUACAAACAACGAGAUAAUGAAUGGAUAGAAGUUGUUACAAAUUAGAAAGAAAUAGAUUUAUUUUUUACACAAUUACAAUGUCAUCUUUAAUAUUUCACUGUGAGCAAUCCAUUAUUUUUGAUCAAUGGUCAGCACUAACAGAAAUUUCUGAUUAUUAUUACUUUAUGAA